GACGAACGCUGGCGGUGUGCUUAACACAUGCAAGUCGAACGGUAAGGCCCUUUCGGGGGUCCCCGAGUGGCGAACGGGUGAGUAACACGUGAGUAACCUGCCCUCAUCUCUGGGAUAACAGUCGGAAACGGUUGCUAAUACUGGAUAUGAGCUUGCAAGGCAUCUUGUGGGUUGGAAAGAUUUUUUUUGGUUGGGGAUGGACUCGCGGCCUAUCAGCUUGUUGGUGAGGUAGUGGCUCACCAAGGCUUCGACGGGUAGCCGGCCUGAGAGGGCGACCGGCCACAUUGGGACUGAGAUACGGCCCAAACUCCUACGGGAGGCAGCAGUGGGGAAUAUUGCACAAUGGACGGAAGUCUGAUGCAGCAACGCCGCGUGCGGGAUGACGGCCUUCGGGUUGUAAACCGCUUUCAAUUGUGACGAAGCGUUUUUGUGACGGUAGCAGUAGAAGAAGCACCGGCUAACUACGUG
rnacentral:rRNA from 1 species